rfam:Arabidopsis lyrata subsp. lyrata unplaced genomic scaffold ARALYscaffold_2, whole genome shotgun sequence.
AUAUUCGAGACGAAGAUAUGGGUGACUAAUACUUAAGAUUUUGGUCAAUUUAAAUUACCAAUCUAAUUAUUUGUUACCCAUAUCUCCAUCUCCAAUUU